rnacentral:rRNA from 1 species
AUUGAACGCUGGCGGCAGGCCUAACACAUGCAAGUCGGACGGUAGCACAGAGAGCUUGCUCUUGGGUGACGAGUGGCGGACGGGUGAGUAAUGUCUGGGGAUCUGCCCGAUAGAGGGGGAUAACCACUGGAAACGGUGGCUAAUACCGCAUAACGUCGCAAGACCAAAGAGGGGGACCUUCGGGCCUCUCACUAUCGGAUGAACCCAGAUGGGAUUAGCUAGUAGGCGGGGUAAUGGCCCACCUAGGCGACGAUCCCUAGCUGGUCUGAGAGGAUGACCAGCCACACUGGAACUGAGACACGGUCCAGACUCCUACGGGAGGCAGCAGUGGGGAAUAUUGCACAAUGGGCGCAAGCCUGAUGCAGCCAUGCCGCGUGUAUGAAGAAGGCCUUCGGGUUGUAAAGUACUUUCAGCGGGGAGGAAGGCGAUGGGGUUAAUAACCCCGUCGAUUGACGUUACCCGCAGAAGA